CUAUGGCAUUUCAUUUGUGAUGGACCAGGACGUUGGAAAUGGAAUAGCGCACAAAGACAAUGAUCAAAUGGAGAAUCUAUUAUUGUGCCCAAGAGACUGCCGAGAUUACAAUGAUACGCUGCAAAUGUUCCGUAAGCUGAAACCGCCCAAUUGCCUUUUUAUAGCCACGAAAAUAUGGAGUCGCGACACGAGAAAAAAAAAUUGCUGUUUAUGGUGCGUUUUGUACCAAGCCAUCAAUCCGGGAACACAAUAUUUAAGAGGCACCCAAGCAUAACAGCUCCGCAUGGAAUUGAAUACAAGAAAACCUAUUGGAGGUGAAAUUGUCGAUUACGAAUUUCAUCAAGAUGUCGCUAGCGGUGAAACAGGCUGGUUAUUUAUUUGGAAAAACCUGGCCUGUACCCAUAGACCA